UACGUAGGGUGCAAGCGUUGUCCGGAAUUAUUGGGCGUAAAGAGCGUGUAGGCGGCCCGAUUAGUCCGCUGUGAAAGUCCAGGGCUCAACCCUGGAAUGCCGGUGGAUACUGUCGGGCUAGAGUCCGGAAGGGGCGAGUGGAAUUCCUGGUGUAGCGGUGAAAUGCGCGGAUAUCAGGAGGAACACCAAUGGCGAAGGCAGCUCGCUGGGACGUGACUGACGCUGAGACGCGAAAGCGUGGGGGAGCAAACAGG
rnacentral:rRNA from 1 species